rnacentral:rRNA from 1 species
CGCCAGACUCCUACGGGAGGCAGCAGUGGGGAAUAUUGCACAAUGGGGGAAACCCUGAUGCAGCGACGCCGCGUGAGCGAUGAAGUAUUUCGGUAUGUAAAGCUCUAUCAGCAGGGAAGAAGAUGACGGUACCUGACUAAGAAGCCCCGGCUAACUACGUGCCAGCAGCCGCGGUAAUACGUAGGGGGCAAGCGUUAUCCGGAUUUACUGGGUGUAAAGGGAGCGUAGACGGCGAUGCAAGCCAGAUGUGAAAGCCCGGGGCUCAACCCCGGGACUGCAUUUGAAACUGUCAGGCUGGAGUGCAGGAGAGGUAAGUGGAAUUCCUAGUGUAGCGGUGAAAUGCGUAGAUAUUAGGAGGAACACCAGUGGCGAAGGCGGCUUACUGGACUGUAACUGACGUUGAGGCUCGAAAGCGUGGGGAGCAAACAGGAUUAGAUACCCCCGUAAA